rnacentral:rRNA from 1 species
AAAGCGCGCGUAGGUGGUUUGUUAAGUUGGAUGUGAAAUCCCCGGGCUCAACCUGGGAACUGCAUUCAAAACUGACUGACUAGAGUAUGGUAGAGGGUGGUGGAAUUUCCUGUGUAGCGGUGAAAUGCGUAGAUAUAGGAAGGAACACCAGUGGCGAAGGCGACCACCUGGACUGAUACUGACACUGAGGUGCGAAAGCGUGGGGAGCAAACAGGAUUAGAUACCCUAGU